rnacentral:rRNA from 1 species
UACGUAGGGGGCAAGCGUUGUCCGGAAUUACUGGGCGUAAAGGGCGCGUAGGCGGCUCUGUAAGUCCGGAGUGAAAGUCCAGCUUUUAAGGUUGGAAUUGCUUUGGAAACUGUGGUGCUUGAGUGCGGAAGAGGUAAGUGGAAUUCCCAGUGUAGCGGUGAAAUGCGUAGAGAUUGGGAGGAACACCAGUGGCGAAGGCGACUUACUGGGCCGUAACUGACGCUGAGGCGCGAAAGCGUGGGGAGCGAACAGGAUUAGAUACCCCUGUAGUCCCUGAGCGGG